ACUCCUACGGGAGGCAGCAGUGGGGAAUAUUGCACAAUGGGGAAAGCCCAUCGAUGCAGCCAUGCCCGCGCUGUGUGAAGAAGGCCAAUUCGGGCUUUGGUUAAAGACACUUUUCAGUAGGGAGGAAGGUAGUGUAGUUAACACCUGCAUUAUUUGACGUUACCUACAGAAGAAGCACCGGCUAACUCCGUGCCAGCAGCCGCGGUAAUACGGAGGGUGCGAGCGUUAAUCGGAAUUACUGGGCGUAAAGCGCAUGCAGGCGGCCUGUUAAGUCAGAUGUGAAAGCCCGGGGCUUAACCUCGGAAUUGCAUUUGAAACUGGCAGGCUAGAGUCUUGUAGAGGGGGG
rnacentral:rRNA from 1 species